rnacentral:lncRNA from 1 species
CCACAUAGACCUUUUUCCAAAAAAUAAAAUUAAGCUCAAUUAGAAAGAAUGAGAAGGAUGGAUUAGGUUAAAAGGAAACCAAGCUUGGCAAGUUCCCUAUCAAAUGUUUUUGCAUUUCCUUAGCCUAAGGAAGAAUUGAGCCAUUCCCCACAAGCAUAGUGUGAAACCAAUGAAUACCAACAAAGGUGGAUUUCUUCGUAAGGAAAGUUGUUUGGGGAAGGAUUUUAACAUUUGAUCAACUCAGAAGAAAUUGAUGGAUUAUAAGGAAUAGACA